UGGAGAUUAGUUUAAUAAUAAAACAAGUGAUUUCGACUCACUAAAUUAUGGUCUACCAUAACCUCCAA
rnacentral:tRNA from 1 species